UAAGUAAAAGCCAAAAAGAGGCAUCUAGCUGUUAAUUAGAGAAAUAUAUUUAUUUUUUAAUAUUUACUUAGC
rnacentral:tRNA from 1 species